CAAAUUCCAACUCCGCCCUUCCUCCGCCGCACGCCAUGACGGAACCGCCGCCUCCGCCCCCUUCUCAACCUCUUCCGCCAGCGGUGUCGCCUCAUCUCAACUAUCCGGAGUCGUUGGACUCCUCUCCGAGGUCUCGCAACACCGACACGUGGGAUGAACCUCUCGCCCCCGGCCCCCUCGCCGGCCGUCUCCGCCUUAUGUGCAGCUAUGGUGGCCAUAUAGUCCCUCGCCCUCACGAUAAGACUCUAUGCUAUGUCUGUGGUGAGACUCGGAUCGUUGUUGUCGACCGCCAUACGUCUUUAUCUGACCUCACUGCCCGUUUGUCGAAGACGCUUCUCAAUGGUAGGCCGUUUACCCUGAAAUAUCAGCUUCCGAAUGAGGAUUUGGAUUCUCUCAUUUCUGUUACCACCGAUGAGGAUUUGGAGAAUAUGAUUGAUGAGUAUGAUCGGACGGCGAGUAAUUCGUCUAACCCUGCGGCAAAACCCUCGCGACUUAGGUUGUUUCUAUUCCCAACUAAGCCGGAUGUUUCUCAGUCGAUCGGGCCAAUUCUGGAGAGCUCGACUAGUUCCGAUGACUGGUUUCUGAAUGCUUUGAAUGGUGCCGGUUUGCUCAAUAGAGGUUUUUCCGACUCUGCAUCGGUUAAUUGCUUGCUAGGGCUUGAUGACGAUGUCGGUGUUAAUAACCUCGAUUCGGGUCCGAGGGAGGCUGAUGGUUCUCAGCCUGGAUCGUUUGGAAAUGGUAAGGGUGGAAAACAGGAUGUUCAUUCUGUCCCUGAUUCGCCGAUGAUCGAGACUUCAUCGUCAUUUGGGUCUACCUCUUCUUCACCUUCUCUGGCGAAUUUGCCGCCGAUUCGGGUUCAUGUGGAGGAUAGCGGCAAUAGCGGUGGGGUUAGUGCUGGUGCAGUCCGAGUUCAAGAUCAGAAGGUGGGAAUUGAGGAGCAAUUUUCGCAGAUGAGUGUUGGUCAAAAGCAGCAAGAUGAAGCUUUCACGGCACUCUCUUCGCCGCCUCCAUUGCCUACAACUAUUGUGGCUUCUGCGGCGGGCUCUGCAAUUCCUGUGAGCUCAGCUGCUGGAGUAGUUGUAGGAGAAUAUAUAAAUCGGGUGAUCUCCGAUGACGAGAGAUCGGACCACGGGGCCCCGGUUGGAUACCGGAAACCACUACCACCUCAGCCACAGUCUCUGGCCCCUCAAUUGCAGCAGAAAUCAAGUGGGCUUGUUGAUGUACCUUCCCCGGACUCGGUGUCCAGUGAUAGUAGUUUAAACAAUCCUAUGUCUCGCUCAAAACCUGUGAUGUAUCAAGAACAAGUUGUUCAUCAAAUCCCCUCUUCAGCCGUUAGGCUUCCUGGCAGUCCCGCAGAUCCAAAAGUCAAUAUUUCUGAUCAAAACGCUCGGGUUCAUAUUCCACAGCAGGUCCAAGAAUCAGGAUAUGUGUUACACUCUCAGUACGAUCAGCAUCAACACCAGCAACUUCAGCAACAACAGCAGCAGCAACAG
rnacentral:misc_RNA from 1 species